rnacentral:rRNA from 1 species
GAGUUUGAUCCUGGCUCAGGAUGAACGCUGGCGGCGUGCUUAACACAUGCAAGUCGAACGAACCUUCGGGUUAGUGGCGGACGGGUGAGUAACGCGUGAGAAUCUGCCCUCAGGAGGGGGACAACAGCUGGAAACGGCUGCUAAUACCCCAUAUGCCGAGAGGUGAAACGAAUUUCGCCUGAGGAUGAGCUCGCGUCUGAUUAGCUAGUUGGUGUGGUAAAGGCGCACCAAGGCAUCGAUCAGUAGCUGGUCUGAGAGGAUGAUCAGCCACACUGGGACUGAGACACGGCCCAGACUCCUACGGGAGGCAGCAGUGGGGAAUUUUCCGCAAUGGGCGAAAGCCUGACGGAGCAACGCCGCGUGAGGGAUGAAGGCCUCUGGGCUGUAAACCUCUUUUCUCAAGGAAGAAGAUCUGACGGUACUUGAGGAAUAAGCCACGGCUAAUUCCGUGCCAGCAGCCGCGGUAAUACGGGAGUGGCAAGCGUUAUCCGGAAUUAUUGGGCGUAAAGCGUCCGCAGGCGGUCCAGAAAGUCUGCUGUUAAAAAGUGGAGCUUAACUCCAUCAUGGCAGUGGAAACUACUGGACUAGAGUGUGGUAGGGGCAGAGGGAAUUCCCGGUGUAGCGGUGAAAUGCGUAGAUAUCGGGAAGAACACCAGUGGCGAAGGCGCUCUGCUGGGCCAUAACUGACGCUCAUGGACGAAAGCCAGGGGAGCGAAAGGGAUUAGAUACCCCUGUAGUCCUGGCCGUAAACGAUGAACACUAGGUGUCGGGGGAAUCGACCCCCUCGGUGUCGUAGCCAACGCGUUAAGUGUUCCGCCUGGGGAGUACGCACGCAAGUGUGAAACUCAAAGGAAUUGACGGGGGCCCGCACAAGCGGUGGAGUAUGUGGUUUAAUUCGAUGCAACGCGAAGAACCUUACCAGGUUUGACAUCCUGCGAAUCUCCUGGAAA